rnacentral:tRNA from 1 species
GCCGAAGUGGCGGAAUCGGUAGACGCGGCGGACUCAAAAUCCGUUUCUGGCGACAGAGUGGGGGUUCGAGUCCCCCCUUCGGCACCA